AUACGUAGGUGGCAAGCGUUGUCCGGAAUUAUUGGGCGUAAAGCGCAUGUAGGCGGUGCCUUAAGUCUGUCGUGAAACUGCGGGGCCUAACCCCGUAUGGCGAUGGAAACUGUGGCACUUGAGUGCAGGAGAGGAAAGGGGAACUCCCAGUGUAGCGGUGAAAUGCGUAGAUAUUGGGAAGAACACCGGUGGCGAAGGCGCCUUUCUGGGCUGUGUCUGACGCUGAGAUGCAAAAGCCAGGGUAGCGAACGGGAUUAGAUACCCCGGUAGUCCUGGCCGUAAACGAUGGGUACUAGGUGUGGGAGGUAUCGACCCCUUCCGUGCCGGAGUUAACGCAAUAAGUACCCCGCCUGGGGAGUACGGCCGCAAGGCUUAAACUCAAAGGAAUUGACGGGG
rnacentral:rRNA from 1 species